GUGCAUCGAAGAGUUUGUAACACCCGAAGCCGGUGGCGUAACCUUUAGGGAGCGAGCCGUCUAAGGUGGGACAAAUGAUUAGGGUGAAGUCGUAACAAGUUAGCCGUAGGAGAACCUGCGGCUGGAUCACCUCCUUUCUAAGGAAACAGACUGAAAGUCUGACGGAAACCUGCACACACGAAACUUUGUUUAGUUUUGAGGGGACGACCGUCAAGCACCCUAGCGGGUGCGACUUUGUUCUUUGAAAACUGGAUAUCAUUGUAUUAAUUGUUUUAAAUUGCCGAGAACACAGCGUAUUUGUAUGAGUUUCUAAAAAAGAAAUUCGCAUCGCAUUACCGCUGACGCAAGUCAGUACAGGUUAAGUUACAAAGGGCGCACGGUGGAUGCCUUGGCACUAGGAGCCGAUGAAGGACGGAACUAAUACCGAUAUGCUUCGGGGAGCUAUAAGUGAGCUUUGAUCCGGAGAUUUCCGAAUGGGGGAACCCAGUACACAUCAGUGUAUUGCCUGCAAGUGAA
rnacentral:misc_RNA from 1 species